AGGGUUUGAUCCUGGCUCAGGAUGAACGCUAGCGGCAGGCCUAACACAUGCAAGUCGAACGGUAACAGAUCUCGCUUGCGAGAUGCUGACGAGUGGCGCACGGGUGCGUAACGCGUAUGCAAUCUACCUUUAACUGAGGAAUAGCCCAGAGAAAUUUGGAUUAAUACCUCAUAGUAUUAUUUAUAGGCAUCUAUUUAUAAUUAAAACUCCGGUGGUUAAAGAUGAGCAUGCGUCCUAUUAGCUAGUUGGUAAGGUAAAAGCUUACCAAGGCUACGAUAGGUAGGGGGCCUGAGAGGGUGACCCCCCACACUGGUACUGAGACACGGACCAGACUCCUACGGGAGGCAGCAGUGAGGAAUAUUGCGCAAUGGAGGAAACUCUGACGCAGCCAUGCCGCGUGCAGGAUGAAUGCCCUAUGGGUUGUAAACUGCUUUUCUGCAAGAAGAAACCUUAGUACGUGUACUAAGCUGACGGUAU
rnacentral:rRNA from 1 species